rnacentral:rRNA from 1 species
AUUCCAGCUCCAAUAGCGUAUAUUAAAGUUGUUGCGGUUAAAAAGCUCGUAGUUGGAUUUCUGCUGAGGACGACCGGUCCGCCCUCUGGGUGAGUAUCUGGCUCGGCCUUGGCAUCUUCUUGGGGAACGUAACUGCACUUGACUGUGUGGUGCGGUAUCCAGGACUUUUACUUUGAGGAAAUUAGAGUGUUUCAAGCAGGCUUACGCCUUGAAUACAUUAGCAUGGAAUAAUAAGAUGGGACCUUGGUUCUAUUUUGUUGGUUUCUAGAGCUGAGGUAAUGAUUAAUAGGAGCAGUUGGGGAUGUCCGUAUUCGAUUGUCAGAGGUGAAAUUCUUGGAUUUAUUGAAGACGAACUACUGCGAAAGCAUUCAUCAAGGAUGUUUUCAUCG